rnacentral:rRNA from 1 species
CCGAUGGAGGGGGAUAACUACUGGAAACGGUAGCUAAUACCGCAUAACGUCGCAGACCAAAGAGGGGGACCUUGGGCCUCUUGCCAUCGGAUGUGCCCAGAUGGGAUUAGCUAGUAGGUGGGGUAACGGCUCACCUAGGCGACGAUCCCUAGCUGGUCUGAGAGGAUGACCAGCCACACUGGAACUGAGACACGGUCCAG